rnacentral:rRNA from 1 species
AUGUCGUCAUUCCACUCGUUGUGUUAUAUCAACCUCGGGUCCCUGGUCCUAGCCUUCUGCUACACCAUCCUCGUAUCGGGCGCGUGCAUUCGGGUAGGUAUGAUGAGCAAUGCUCCGGUGAAAGAUUACUUACUGAUCCCCUCAAAGUCUGGGAAGAUGUAUGCCGCCUUCCUCUCCAUCUCCAUCCUAGCCACCGUGUUCGGCAACGGCAUCCUGCCCGAGAUCCAGGCCACACUGGCACCACCGGUGGCGGGGAAGAUGGUCAAGGGGCUUGUGCUGUGCUACACCAUGGUCUUCUUCACCUUCUACCUGGCAGCCAUCUCCGGCUACUGGGCCUUCAGCAACACGGUGUAG